rnacentral:rRNA from 1 species
UGGGCAGCGGUGGAGCAUGUGGUUUAAUUCGAUGCAACGCGCAGAACCUUACCAACGCUUGACAUCCUCGGACAGCUGCUGAGAUGCAGUCUCCACUUCGGUGGCCGAGAGAGAGGUGCUGCAUGGCUGUCGUCAGCUCGUGUCGUGAGAUGUGGGGUUAAGUCCCGCAACGAGCGCAACCCUCGCCCUUAGUUGCCAGCAUUUAGUUGGGCACUCUAAGGGGACUGCCGGUGAUAAUCCGAGAGGAAGGUGGGGAUGACGUCAAGUCCUCAUGGCCCUUACCGGGUGGUCUACACACGUGCUACAAUGGUGGUGACAGAGGGCAGCGAGACCGCGAGGUCGAGCUAAUCUCCAAAAGCCAUCUCAGUUCGGAUUGCACUCUGCAACUCCAGUGCAUGAAUUUGGAAUCUCUAAUAAUCGCGGAUCAGCAUGCCCCGGUGAAUACGUUCCCGGGCCUUGUACACACCGCCCUUAAAUCC